GAAACGACUUUCGACAACAGAUAUCUGGGCUCUCGCAUCGAUCAAGAACGUAGCAAAAUGCGAUACUUGGUAUGGAUUGUAGAAUCCUGUGAACCAUCGAGUCUUUAAACUCAAGUUGCGCCUAAAGACACCAGGCCGAGGGCACGUCUGCCUGGGUGUCACAC
rnacentral:rRNA from 1 species